GUGUCCGUUACGGCGGUGUGCUGAGCCUAGGAGCAGAACGUCGGCUUGGGGAGCUGAGCCAUGGACCAGUUCGUCGUUAGUAAUGGAAGUGGAUGAGAAACCAAACCAAGCCGUCUAGGCUCCCGGGGGAAGCACGCACUUGUGCUCUUGAGGCCGGCAGUCGGAAAUUAAAUUAAGGUUGUAGAUGGUUCUGAUGGAGGCUGCCUCAUGGCUCGCCGGGAGUUUGAUUUGAAAUGGCGGCUGAUUCUACCGGCGACGAAUCCAUGGAGGCCAAUGGAUUGGAGUUCCUGCUAGAUCCAGUCAACAGGUUCCCCCUUCGUGAAGAGUUCGCCGACAACCUGAGCAUCCAUAUCGGGUUCCCCCUGCUGUGCUGCCGCGAGUCGGAGAGGAUCAGGUUGUAGCAGAGGAGUCGAAAUGCGCGUGAGGCUGCGCCCAGGGGGUCGGUGGCCGUAGCCCGCAGAGAAGUGGAUGCCAGGCCAGAUGAGGAAGAACACUUCGCCUAUGCAGUCAACGUGGUCCACCGGGAAGGUGAAUCCCGAAGCUCCAGGAUAGACGAAGAGGCUACGGCUGGGCAGUGCUCCGCCGGAUAAAACUCCAUGCCCAUCGACAGUUCCUGAUUCAGUCAAUACCGAUGUCUCAAUACUGAUGUAAAUGUUCAACCACUUGAGAAAAAUGUUUACAACUCGUCGACGGUUCCUGAUUCAGUCAAUUUAAAUGCUGAUGCACAUCAAUUUAUCUGCACAAACAUUUUUUAGGGACUGUUUUGUCCAGACAUAUGGUUCUCAUUUCCAUAAAAUUUCACCAAAAUUUCAUAUCAUUUAGUAGGCAUAAGAAUAAGAAUAUAUAUAUUUCGCUCAAAAUGGCAUUGCGGCAAAAUAUUUAAGUGAACGUGAAUUUGAGCAGAAUUAAAAUAGCACACAAAUUUCAUCCAACUCUGGUUCAGUCAAAUUUAAGUUAGAAUUUUUGUCACUCGGCCAAACUGAACCGAAAUAACAAUCCAGUUGAUUCCAGUGAUGGCCCAAUUCUGAUUCCAGUGAUGGCCCAAUUCUGAUUCCAGUGAUGGCUUUGAUAAAACAUUUCAUAGAUCCAAAGUACAUUAUGGUCAACUGUAUUUCCUCGUCAUAGAAUAUCUUUAGUGGAUUGUUAAGCAUUGCGACUUCUUUUUGUUAUCUUUAUCAUUAUUCUUUGUUGCUAUUGCUGCUACUGCACAUUAUAUUUUCUUAAAACACUUGCUUCUUGGGUUGAUCCAUGAGGAUGAUGGUGCAGCAGCCAUUGUACUUAAGAACUUAAAGGUUGAUCUCGGCAACAUACGCAACGAGGUAAAUCCACAUUGUGAACUGAUAACCAAAUAGUUAAGUCUUUUACUUCCAAUUCUCUGUUGGUAAUCUCACAGAUAUGAAUUACUCCCUCUGUCCCAGAAUAUAAGAACGUUUUUGACACUAUACUAGUGUUAAAAACGUUCUUAUAUUUUGGGACGGAGGGAGUAUGUUGAUUCUCUUAGGUUAUCAGAAUGAUUGCUGACAUGUCUGAAGAUCAAACAUGUAAAGACAGCUAUCGCGGAAGGCCUUGCGUAGCACAUUGCCACCUGGGAUGUGCCUGAAACAGUUGAAGGGAAAACGAUUUGUGUCCAUUGCAUCUCUUGUGCUAAAUAUCUUAUCCUAGAGUAAUUCAGGUUAAUAUUAGUUUGACGUUGUUCCCAACAGAUUUUCCAAUUCCUGUGAUAAUCAUUGUAUUCAUGGCUCUUGUCCCUUAACAAAAUUGAUGUGCAAGUUCCAGCUGGUUCCAAUCAAGCUAAUGGCUUUUCUUCUGGUACUUUGAUGGCUUAAUUAAUUGGGAGGAUCGAUA